GCUUUCGCACCUCAGUGUCAGUAUCAGUCCAGGUGGUCGCCUUCGCCACUGGUGUUCCUUCCUAUAUCUACGCAUUUCACCGCUACACAGGAAAUUCCACCACCCUCUACCAUACUCUAGCUUGUCAGUUUUGAAUGCAGUUCCCAGGUUGAGCCCGGGGAUUUCACAUCCAACUUAACAAACCACCUACGCGCGCUUUACGCCCAGUAAUUCCGAUUAACGCUUGCACCCUCUGUAUUACCGCGGCUGCUGGCACAGAGUUAGCCGGUGCUUAUUCUGUCGGUAACGUCAAAACAGCAAAGUAUUAAUUUACUGCCCUUCCUCCCAACUUAAAGUGCUUUACAAUCCGAAGACCUUCUUCACACACGCGGCAUGGCUGGAUCAGGCUUUCGCCCAUUGUCCAAUAUUCCCCACUGCUGCCUCCCGUAGGAGUCUGGACCGUGUCUCAGUUCCAGUGUGACUGAUCAUCCUCUCAGACCAGUUACGGAUCGUCGCCUUGGUGAGCCAUUACCUCACCAACUAGCUAAUCCGACCUAGGCUCAUCUGAUAGCGCAAGGCCCGAAGGUCCCCUGCUUUCUCCCGUAGGACGUAUGCGGUAUUAGCGUCCCUUUCGAGACGUUGUCCCCCACUACCAGGCAGAUUCCUAGGCAUUACUCACCCGUCCGCCGCUGAAUCAGAGAGCAAGCUCUCAUCAUCCGCUCGACUUGCAUGUGUUAGGCCUGCCGCCAGCGUUCAAU
rnacentral:rRNA from 1 species